rnacentral:rRNA from 1 species
UACGAAGGGGGCUAGCGUUGUUCGGAAUUACUGGGCGUAAAGCGCGCGCAGGCGGCUAUCCAAGUCAGUGGUGAAAGCCCGGAGCUCAACUCCGGAACUGCCAUUGAAACUGUUUAGCUUGAGGAUGAGAGAGGUGAGUGGAAUUCCCAGUGUAGAGGUGAAAUUCGUAGAUAUUGGGAAGAACACCCGUGGCUAAGGCGGCUCUCUAGUACGGUACUGACGCUGAGACGCGAAAGCGUGGGGAGCGAACAGG